UCUAGAAGUUAGUUAGCUAUGCUUAUCAAGUUUGGAACAAGAUGCAAGACUAUUUUGUAAAAUUUUUGAAGAUGAAGAUCAAACAAUUGAAAAUAGAAUUAAAGAACAUCCAGAAAGCAGGUUCAUUUUGAGGAUAUUACUGAUGGAUUGAGUGAGGAAUAUGUAACAUCUUAUUGAUAUAUAUGCAAGAGUAGUAUUGUUUCUUUCUCAUGAAAUCAUGCUUGAAAAAUUUUUAAAAAAUCUGAUAUUGGCAUCAUCCAAUCAAAUUUUAC